AGAGUUUGAUCCUGGCUCAGGAUGAACGCUAGCUACAGGCUUACACAUGCAAGUCGAGGGGCAGCAUGGUCUAGCAAUAGACUGAUGGCGACCGGCGCACGGGUGAGUAACACGUAUCCAACCUGCCGAUUAUUCCGGGAUAGCCUUUCGAAAGAAAGAUUAAUACUGGAUAGCAUAACGAGAAGGCAUCUUCUUGUUAUUAAAGAAUUUCGAUAAUCGAUGGGGAUGCGUUCCAUUAGUUUGUUGGCGGGGUAACGGCCCACCAAGACAUCGAUGGAUAGGGGUUCUGAGAGGAAGGUCCCCCACAUUGGAACUGAGACACGGUCCAAACUCCUACGGGAGGCAGCAGUGAGGAAUAUUGGUCAAUGGGCGAGAGCCUGAACCAGCCAAGUAGCGUGAAGGAUGACUGCCCUAUGGGUUGUAAACUUCUUUUAUAUGGGAAUAAAGUGCAGUAUGUAUACUGUUUUGUAUGUACCAUACGAAUAAGGAUCGGCUAACUCCGUGCCAGCAGCCGCGGU
rnacentral:rRNA from 1 species